GUGGGGGAUAUUGCACAAUGGGGGAAACCCUGAUGCAGCAACGCCGCGUGAAGGAUGAAGGUUUUCGGAUUGUAAACUUCUGUUCUUAGUGACGAUAAUGACGGUAGCUAAGAAGAAAGCUCCGGCUAACUACGUGCCAGCAGCCGCGGUAAUACGUAGGGAGCGAGCGUUGUCCGGAUUUACUGGGUGUAAAGGGUGCGUAGGCGGCAGAGCAAGUCAGGCGUGAAAGCCAUGGGCUUAACCCAUGAACUGCGCUUGAAACUGUUUUGCUUGAGUGAAGUAGAGGCAGGCGGAAUUCCCGGUGUAGCGGUGAAAUGCGUAGAGAUCGGGAGGAACACCAGUGGCGAAGGCGGCCUGCUGGGCUUUAACUGACGCUGAGGCACGAAAGCAUGGGUAGCAAACAGGAUUAGAUACCCUUGUAGUCC
rnacentral:rRNA from 1 species